GACAGUGGUGCCCACCCCAUAAUGUAUGACAUGCCAUCAUCCACCCAUCUGUCUGAUUGUCUCCCUCUUUCUUCAUCUUGUUUAUUUUUAGGUAAACGCCAAUGGGUGGGAUUCGCAUGCUGAUGGAAUGACGGUUGUCAGGCGGAUUAAAACUAAAGAUGAACCAUGUGGGAGUUUCCUCCAAAGAGCCUGUGGAUAAAUCUCAUUAGCAUACCUGCUCUGUGGACGGCUGUAAAUUUAAUGAAUGACGUGCUGGAGAGGAUAAGGUCAUCUGAAGAGUUUGGGACUGUUUGCAUCUUUGUGGUGCCAGCAGCAAAUCAGCAUUGCUCGGAAUGAUCCGGCGGGAUUGUCCUUGUCUGUUAAAUGACUGCUUACUUUCAUCAAAAGCUGAUGAGGUACUUUGCAAUGGCUCUGGUCCACAUUAACUGGCCAUGUUUGAUGAUGUCGUUUCAGGGUGAGCAAAAAAUUAGAAUUCGACUUUGUAAAUGAAUUGAAACCUCAAUAAGAGGGUUUCUUUAUUCAUGCCAUCAUGGAUCCAGGCACAUUAUUUGUGUCAGAGCAAAGCAUAUCAUCUCGAGUGUUAAAGAGAGUGACUCAGACAGUAAGUAUUGCCAGAAUUCAACACUCGCUCAGUUUCUGAGCUGCUAUUUUCCAGGCUGUCUGCUGGUCGCCCGUGCCCAUGAAAGACUCCGGUCUGCAGCACGCAAGCCAUUUAAUGAGAGUUCUGUGCUGAUCUGAGCACAAAUGAGCCAGGGGAAGUUUGAUGUGCCACUCAAAACCGGUUUUCCAUCAUUAUCUAAAUCUAGCAUAAAACCCCCCAUAACUUUGAGGCUCAAAUUAGUUUUAGAGUAUUUUUUGCUCAUUAAUGUCAUGUCAGUCUGCAAGAUGUAUCCGAAAGAUAAAUGAGGAAAUGGAAAUUGUAGAGCACAAAGGACCAUUCUGUUGAGAGAUGCCGGGUGUUGCCAUUGACUUUUCGCACUCGUGUUUUAGUAAGCCUUCCAAAAAAACGUACUUUCUUCCUCAAUUAAUUCCAGGAUGUUGAAUAUUUAGAUGAUACCUGUCCGUGGCACUGUGACCUAACACUUUGUGUUCAAAAAGGUCAUAAAUAUCUUUAAAAAUGCUUGAGAAUCUGUCUUGAGGAUUAUGCCGGCUCGGAAAAGUAAUUAGUUGCACCAUAGAUGUAUUGCGGAACGACUCUGCAAGGGAACUAAGAAGCUUUUGGGGCUCCAAUUAAAACUUCAUAGGAAACUCCAAUCUGUACGUUACAUUUAGAGAGUGAGAGAAAAGACACCAGGUAGGGGAAGAUAAGGUUGAUUUGCAUACUUUCUAAAUAUACUGCAUGUACAGUCAGUGCUGAGGUUGUUGGGUUUGCAGUUGCGCAGUACGUUUUCGCUGCAUGAUUUUCUUUGAGAACAUUCUGAUGCGUGAAAGGAGGCAGAUGUUAUUUCAGACAUCGUUUGCUUUUCAUUAUGUUUUCCAGGAAGAAAGUGAAUAGACUAUUGACAUUAAUGAGCUAGGUCAUCCGCAAGCACUUGUUAAGCUGUACAGGGAAUAUUGACCUAUACAGUGUAAAAGUCAAUGAUUGAUGCUUGGAACCGAAGUAAGUUUCUCGAAAAGAGCAGUAAGACUGUAUAUAUAGUGGUGUCCAGAAGUCUGAGAUCGCAUUGAAAAUCUGGCAAAUAAACAGUUUUAAUAUUUGGGGAAAUAUUAAAAC
ensembl:lncRNA